UUGGUCUCAGCCAAUGAGAAGAAGGGAUACAAGUGGCGAGUCGCUCUCAGCCAAUCAGAAGCGCUGUUUCACGUGCUUUGGUUUUUGGCGCCAUUUUCAUUCUUCUUUGAACGGUCGCUUUGCCACACUACACGUUGAGAGGAUUUUCUCAAGAAAAUUAGUCAAUUUUUGUCUAAUUUAAUGGCUAAUAAGGCUCAUCCCAAACGUGUAUAGAGAAAAGAAAGAUACGGUUUUGUGUAAGUACGAGAUGGCAGAAAACGUUUUCGUUCAAUUGUGUUUGAUACAGCCGUGUAGAGGCCAGACCUCUGAAGGAUGAUCAAGUGACUUAUUCUUAAAUGAAUAAAUAUAGCAAUUUUUAGGUGCAGAGAGAAAGUCCCCCCGAAGGCCUGGUACGUAAACAGGAACUCUUAAUACAUCCAUCUCCUUUUUUUUUCUUCAAUAAGCAUUCUCAAUUAGGGAGUGUUCAUUAAAUACAUGGGAGAAGGGAAAAAGUGUUCAAAAUGCAAGGGUGGCUCUGAAAUUUUAAGGUGUCUUUAGCGGUGUAAUUAAUGAACACUCCCUUAUUUAGAAAACAGUAAAACCAAUUGCUUUUAAAAGAAGUAUGCAAGUAGCCAUGAAUUGUAGGGGAUGGGGAGGGGGGUAGCACAGUUAUAGCGGCCAGUUCCUAUGAUUUUUAACAGGGAGGGGGAUUUUUUUACCCAUCAAGAAGACUAAUCUCCCUAAUGCAACAUGGCCUAAAGUCUUUGUGGGACUUUUUUUAUUGAACAGGACUUCCAAUCCAAUAGCCUCUCUCGUCUCGUUCAAACCCUGUAUUCCCCCAUUCCUGUCCCUCCCCUCCCACCAAUACAGUACCUUCCAUUAAUUGCAUAAGAAGAGCUAAUCGCUUUGCUGCCAUCAAUUAGUUGUCAUGCACUUUUUUUUCAUGUUGCUGUCCUUACAAGAGUUGUCAUUUUAUUGCUCCAGUUCUUUAUAUGGGUGUUUGCUUUUCAUUUAUCAAAACAUGUGCUUGUAAUGAAUAUCCUUUUUAGGAUGAUUGUUCUGUUUCUUAUUUUGUUAUGUUUUUCUAUUCAAAUGGCUGGAGAGAGUGCCAAAAAAGAUGACAGAUAUCAUGGAGGCUAGAGGGCUCCUGGAGCAUAAACUAAAAGAAAAAAAAAAAAAGAGAGCCACAGGACAGGGCGAGGAAAGAGUUGGCUGGGAAUUAAUUGCUUCCCCGCUAGCUCGCGUAUACAGGGAUAGGUGAAGGGGUUUCCGUGAUCCGUAAUCGGACACAAAUUUGCGCCGAUAAACAGUGAAAUAUUUGCCGUGAAAAAAUCUGUGAAACGUGACCACUCCCUGAUACUAUUCAAAAAAGCCUUACUAAGGUCGUUAGUGAGUUGUGAUUAUAAUUAGUGCCUAUUGCUAUUUUUGUUGCCUUUUUCAAAAUGAUAUUAUCUGUGCUCCGAAAUCGCGAAUAAAUUGGUCUGUGAUUCGUGAUUACUACCCACCUCCCCCUUUCUAUAGAGAAUAAACACAAAUAUGCUGGUA